GGGAUGGUUCAGAAGCACAUAGAGGAAGUCGCGGAGUUUGGUUGUGAUGCAGGAGUUCUACAAGGAUAAAGCCAGCGCAGUCUUUCAAUGAAUGCUCGUGCUCUGAGGAUGAGGAACCAAGAUUCUGUUUUGGACAGAGGGCAUCGGUGAUAGAAAGAAGUUCACUCUCGGGGAUGGUGGGGACCAGCAGGCGCAGGAGCUCAAGGAGAACCUCAACAGGCACGCGACACUGUUUUACCAGUUCGGAUGCGAAAAGCAGGUCCUGAAAUACAGAAGUGAGCACAGAGAAGAACUUUGCCGUUAAACGCACACCCUUUUUUGCUGCCGUCCUAUGAAAAGCGUUUGAACCUGGUCGCAGUUGGAAUAAAGUCUCUUGAGCGCCAUUUGCUCUCUCAGA